GGUCAUAUUUCUCUGCUUCUUUGCACGCCUGAUAAUUUUUAACUUGAUAUCUACAUUGUGAAUUUCACCUUGUUUUUAUAGAUACCCGGUCUUGCUAUCUUUCCCAAGCUGUUCUUGAUCUCCUGGCUUCAAGUGAUCCUUGACCUCCCAAAGUGCUGGGAGGAUAGACAUGAGCCACUGUGCCUGACCCAAGUGGAAUAAACUCUAAUGUUAAGUGGGGGAAGUCAAGAUGGCUAACCAGGCACAGCCAGGUGGAUCAUUUCUUACCAAAAGGAUGAGACUUCAGGAAGACUGGCACAUUCUGAGCAGAUCUUUGUGGGGAAGGCAUUGAGAGUGGACAGAGCUUCAGGCACGUCUCAGCAUGCCUCCCUCUCAUGGAAGUUCCCAGGAAGCCCACCAUGUACGUGUCUGUACGUGUCUGUAGAAGAGGAGGAAAUUUUUUUCCGGGAGCCGGCUGAUUACACAAAGAACAAAGGAUGCAAAGCAGGAAUACAAGCAAUGAGCGCCAUGCCUGAAAAACCUGUUGCUGUACACAUCUAUACUCUUCAAUCAACAAAACAUGAUGCUAAAAAUAGAAAAGAGGGAGAUGUAGGAGUUCAGUCAGUGUGUUGGGAAAAGUUGUAAGAAAAAUUAUAGGAAGACGCAAACAUUCUUGGAAGGCAGGAAGGUUUUGCUAAAGCUUUGGGAAAGGGUUAUGGCUGAAGGCAGCCUAAUCCUCUUACCUGAGCUAAUAGCAAAAAGCAAAUAACAAGGGAAUGUCAGGGAGUUUAUCUAAAUAGCUUUUUUACUCAUGUUGUCCUAAGACCAAACUUUGAUAGUCCAUGCACAGGAUUGCUCUCUCCGUGUGCAGUGGGGAGGUAGACUAUGUUAAUUUUACCCACAAGUGUGUUGACUCAAGGCUUUGUCAUUAAAUCUGUACUAAAUAAAUUCCUGCAGUGCCAGUUUGUCAAGGCCGUGGCUGCUACAACUCUUUCUGUUAUCAGCCCAGUUCCCUAGUCUGCUCUUUCACUUGGAUACUGUGUCUCAGUACAUUUUUUCAUCCAUCGCUCAGUCAGGGUCUGUGGGUCAGACCUGGCAUAUCUUUAUGCCAGCACCACACUCUUGAUUAUGAUAGGUUUAUAGUGAGUUCUGAAUUAGGAAUGUAUGAGUUCUACAACUUUGUUCCCGUUUUUCGGAAUUGUUUUGACUGUUCACAGUGCCUGAAUAUUCUAUAUUAAUUUUAAGGUGGAAUUUUCUAUUUCUGCAAAAUAUAACAUUGAGAGUUUGAUAGGGAUUGUAUUUAAUCUACAGAUUGCUUUGAGUAGUAUUGCCAACUUAACAAUAUUAGGUCUUCCAAUUUAUGAAAAGAGAGUGUAUUUCUAUUUAUAUAUGUCUUUGUGAAUUUCUUUCAGCAACAUUGUGUAGUUUUCAUUGUAGCCUUUCACAUGGUUAGUUAAUUCCUAAAUAUGUUAUUGCUUGAGAGGUUAUUGUAAAUAAAAUUGUUUUGUUAAUUUUA
rnacentral:lncRNA from 1 species